rnacentral:rRNA from 1 species
UACGUAGGUGGCUAGCGUUGUCCGGAUUUACUGGGCGUAAAGAGCGCGCAGGCGGUCGUUCAAGUCGAGUGUGAAAGCCCCCGGCUCAACUGGGGAGGGUCACUCGAUACUGAUCGACUCGAAGGCAGGAGAGGGAAGCGGAAUUCCCGGUGUAGUGGUGAAAUGCGUAGAUAUCGGGAGGAACACCAGUGGCGAAAGCGGCUCUCUGGAACGGUACUGACGCUGAGACGCGAAAGCGUGGGGAGCGAACAGG